rnacentral:rRNA from 1 species
GAUGAACGCUAGCGGCAGGCCUAAUACAUGCAAGUCAAGGGGCCCCGCCUUUGGGCGGGGCACCGGCGGACGGGUGAGCAGCGCGUACACAACGUGCCCCUGACCGGGGGACAGCGGCGGGAAACUGCCGGUAACACCCCAUGGCGCCGCGGGGCGGCAUUGCCCGGCGGCGAAAGUUUCGGCGGUCGGGGAUCGGUGUGCGUCCGAUUAGGUAGUUGGCGGGGUGACGGCCCACCAAGCCUGCGAUCGGAGGGGGUGUGAGAGCACGGCCCCCACAUGGUACGU